AUGCUGAUCCAACCAGGACCAGGAGGCAGCUACCUCCUCCCUCAGACCAGAAGUCCUGGUUCCCGGCUGCCACCUCCCUCAGACCCAAAGUCUCCUCCGUCGGGAGUCCAGAUCCCCAGCUCCCUCGCUCCCACGCUGGGGUCCAGGCGCCCAGCGUCCUCCUCCCACAGACCCAGGAGUCCAGACCCCCAGCGCCCUCCUCCCUCAGAUCCGGGAGUUCUGGAGUUCAGGACUCUCUCCCCCAGGUAUCCAGAACUACGUACUCCCAGAGCCCCUCCACCCGAGGAAGAUUUGGGCUGCGGGUCUGGUCUCCUGAGACCCCGCACAGGGUAUCGGGCAGCCAGUCUGGGGAGUGCUCCCCUCCUGCCUCAGUUUCCUCCGCCAAGCCCCGCCUCCGCCGGCCCCGCCCCCGUCCCUCCCUACCCGGGGGCAGGGCGACCCGGACGCCGGAAUCCCGCGGGAGGAGGCGCGGAGGCUCUUACCUGGGGCGCCCUCUCCGGCUCCUCCGCUGCCCCUGGCGCGGCGCGGCUCCUCCUCCCGCUCGCCGGCUGCAGGGACGCCCGCUCGCCCGCCGGCUCCGCGCUGCACACGCUGGGGAGGGCCCGCGAGGGGGCGGGGGCGGGGCGGCGCCCGACGGCGGAGGAGGGGCCGGGGGAUCCCGCCUUCCACGCGCGUGCCGGGACCUCGGAAGCCCGGCCUGGCUCGCUCAGCUCCUGGCCCGCCUCGGCCCCGGGAGGCCGGGCGCCGUCCCCCUGCUCCCUCAGACCGGGGGGUCCUCACCCCCAGCACUUCCUCCCUCAGGCCCGGGAGUCCGCGCCCCCCGCCCCCUCCUCCCUCAGACCUGGGGGUCCGGGCCCUCCGCCCCCUCCUCCCUCAGACCCGGGAGUCCUCACCCCCAGCAUCCUUCCUUCCUCAGACCUAGGAAUCCUCAUCCCCAGCCCCCCCUUCCCUCAGACGCAGGGGUCCGGGCCCCCAGACCCCUCCUCCCUCAGACCCGGGAGUCCUCACCCCCAGCAUCCUUUCUCCCUCGGAUCCAGGAGUCCUCAACCCCAGCUCCCUCUUCCCUCAGACCCAAGAGUCCUCACCCUCAGCCCCUUCUUCCCUUUUCCUUCAGAACCCAGGAGUCCAGCCCCCCAGCCCCCUCCUGCCUCAGACCCAGAAGUUCUCACCCCCAGCCCCCUCCUCCCUCAGACCCAGGAGUCCUCACCCUCAGCCCCCUCCUCCCUCAGACCCAGGAGUCCGACCAGCAGCUCCCUCUUUCCUUAG
rnacentral:lncRNA from 1 species